rnacentral:rRNA from 1 species
GACGAAUGCUGGCUGCGUGCUUAACACAUGCAAGUCGAACGGUGAAGGAGAGCUUGCUCUCCGGAUCAGUGGCGAACGGGUGAGUAACACGUGGGCAACCUGCCCCUCACUCUGGGAUAACGCCGGGAAACCGGCGCUAAUACCGGAUACGACCAGGCGCGACAUCUCGCCUGGUGGAAAGAAUUUCGGUGAGGGAUGGGCCCGCGGCCUAUCAGCUUGUUGGGGGGGCAACGGCCCACCAAGGCGACGACGGGUAGCCGGCCUGAGAGGGCGGACGGCCAGACUGGGACUGAGACACGGCCCCGACUCCUCCGGGAGGCAGCAGUGGGGAAUAUUGCGCAGUGGGCGAAAGCCUGACGCGGCGACGCAGCGUGAGGGACGACGGCCUGCGGGUUGUAAACCUCUUUCAGCGGGGACGAAGCGAAAGUGACGGUACCCGCAGAAGAAGCACCGGCUAACUACGUGCCAUCCGCCGCCGUAACAC